rnacentral:lncRNA from 1 species
UUUGCAGCCACUAAUUCAAUAGUUCUAGCAAGAACUAGGUUAAACAUCAUUAACCCAGACACAUUCAAGCCCUAAAAUUCAAGACCCAUCAAAUACCCACACUAGAGUUGGAUCACAACCCUAGCUAUGGGAUCCAACCCUAGCUAUGUGUUUAGCUACUCAUGAAAAUAGCAGAAAUCAAAGAUAAAGAGAAGAUAAAAUCCAUAAUGCUAAAUUAAAAGAUGAAAAUCUAAAGUUAUAAGGUAAAUCUUGUACAAAAUUGCCCAAAUAGGUAAAACUAGUCAUCUCACAUUCUCAACAAAAUAUAACAUAACCUAAAAAUGUGAAAAAGAUCUAUUUAUACCAGGUUGAAAUUCCAGGACAAAAAAGACCCUACUGAAGUUUCGCGGCCGCGUAAUUCUGACCGCGGCCACACUCUUGCUUUCGCGGCCGCGUAAUAUAAGGCACGGUCCGCGUUUCUUUACAUUUGAUACUAGGCUAGAACUUGUUUCGCGAAGCGCAUAAUUUUCACCGCAUCCGCGUGAGAACCUUCCACGGCUACAUAAUUUUGAUGCGGCCUGCGCUUAACAUUUUUGCCUUUUUAGUAAGCUCUCUGAACUUUAGCAAACGCGAUCAGCAAAAUUCCAAUCGCGGUCGCUAUAGUAUUUUUGCGUGUCUGUGCCCAAAAUUCACCUCUAAUUCUCCUUCUCGCGGUCCGUGAACUCAUGACUGCAUCCGCGGUGACACUUUCGCGGCCGCACUUUUCUGUCGUGGUCUGCAUUUUACAAUCUUGACCUAGUCUUGAUCUUUGUUCCUGUUUUGACUCCUUUAUGAGUUGAUCGUGGUCACUUUGGCUCAUUGUGAACAAUCCCUGCAAGCAGGCAUAUUAUGUUAGUUUUCGGGAAUACCUUACUCAUUUAGCCCCAAAACGCAAGUAAAAAGAGAGAAAAUAAUGGCUAAAAUCCCCACUUAUUAGCUACCCCAUUCUCUUUGUUUUAUGGCACCGAAGCUUUUAUAUCGGUCAGAGUCGGGUAGCCAAUCAUCAGAUUCCGAUAUGUGAUGAAGGAAUCGAAUGACGAGGCCAUGAAUACGAGCCUGGAGAUAUUAGAUGAACGACAUGAAGCUGCCUUUAUUCGAUUGGCUGCCCAGAAGCAAUGGUGCAAAAGGUAUUGUCACACCUCUUUUAUCUACCCCCGGAAGGGGAUAUAAGGGAGUUUUUUCCAAUUUAACUGACAAUCGAAACGUAAUUAUUUAUAUUAAAUACAGAUUCACCACUUGGCAUAAUUUAUGGUGUCCCAAGUCAUCGGUUUAAAAAUUUCGAAUCGAGAAAGAUUGACUCUGUUUUACAGUCCGCGAAACACAGAAAUCCAGGUAAGGAAUUUUGUUAACCCGGAAGAAGGUGUUUGGCAUUUCUCGGGUUCCGUAGUUUUAGCACGGUCGCUCAACUAUUAUUAUUGGCAUAUUUAUCAGAUUAAUUACACAUUUUAUACCUACGUCCAUUUUUAACUUUCUAGCCGCUUUUUAAUGUUUUUUAGGAAAAUUCAUGAUUUGUUGAAAACACAUCGUAAACCAUGCUAAAUGAAAUGCACCCACGGUUCACGACGCGUUUUAUUUUAUUUAACAAUAUUGGAAAUUAAAUUCAGAUCACAUGAAAUGUAUACCUGGAUUUUAGCAAUCACAACUACGUCACGGGAACCGUACCCGUAGUCAAAAAAAUUCAUUGUAACAUGUCUAGAGCAAACUACGAAGAUACAUUUUUAAUAUCUAAGUUGCGAUAUUUAUGAGGACCAAGGAUGAUCUAAUUAUGUAUGGCAUGCCUCAAUCCAUUUUCUCUUGAAAAGGAAUGUAUUUCGCUUCAAUAAACUAAAAAAACGUUCAGAUCUUGAUCUAAUUGAUGAGGGCCAUGGAUGAUCUAAUUUUAGAUGGGAUACCUCAAUCCAUUUUUUUUCUUUAAAGGAAUCAUAUUGAACUACAGCAGUCUUAAAAGCAGGUCUUGGAUUAUUUGAAAAUAAAUGGGCAGUAUCAAGCCCAAUACAUUAAAAGGAUCCCUUUUUAAAAGAAGUAUGACUGACGGAACUAGGCUCAGAAUCGAGCCCAAGAAUGAGGAAGGAGGUGUGGAUGGCCACAAUAGUUUUGAUUAGACCGAGCAUCAGGCCCAGCUUUUGGAGAUAAACAUGCAGUAGUCGAAAACCAUUUUUGUCAUGCUAAACAGAAGCAAUUUAAAGAAUAAACUGCUAUAAGCUAGUUGGGCUCAAAAUUGAGCCCAAAGGUGAAAAUGAGCAAACAAAUAACUAACUUAGGUCAGAAUUUGACAAGGCUGUCUCACCUGGGCCUGAAUCAAGCCCAAUUGAGACUCCUCCUCCUUCGUCUUAAUAUUUGACCCAAAGAUUACAAAUCCAGCAAAAUAAAAAGGUUAGACAUCCGUGUUAUAAGCCCAACAAUAUUAGUAGUAGCAAAAAGGGAUCAAACAUUAUUUGCGCAUAAACUAAAUUGAGCUUAAACUCAGAAUAAAGCAAGGCCAAUAACAUGCUAAUAAAGAAAAGAUCCCUGGCAUUUAAUGAAGUUCCUUAUAUCACAAUCGCCAUACUCAUAGACUGAUCUAGCAAAGAUUUACUUUCUUAAUUUAUGCAUUACCAUGGAUCUAAACCAGCCAUCAAUCUGAUAGUAUUGGCACUCAAAAUGACUCAACAUGAUAAUACACAUAUACACAUUAUGCAAUCAGCAGUUUUCCAUCACAGUUUCAAUAAUUUACAACUGAACAUCUAAACUAAUUUGAACUUCGAACAGUUAAAUGUGAAACAUACUAGAGAAUAGUAUACUAAUGUCAACACUUAAUCAAAACUGAAACCAAUGGUUACAAAACUAACAAAAUAACAGAUGCUAAACGAAAGUAGAAUAUCUAAAAGUCCAUUCAAAUUCAAACAUGUUAAAACUUUAACUUGUCAUUUCACGGGUCAUGAAGAUACCUGGAUACAGCAAAAAUAACAAAGCUUCAGCAAAAGAUAAUGAAACCAGCAUUAGGUAGUAGCAGUAGCACCAAGUUUAAUCCAUGUUCAAACCAAAAAUCAAUAAGGUAUUGACAACUCCCUUUCUUUAGAACCUAGGAGAAUUGAAAUCAGAUCUUAGUUUGAGAAUAUUCGACCCUUUUUCAGUGUUUUCCAGUUCUGAAAAUCUAUAUCAGUGUGUGUUUAAUGACUAAAAUAAUGGUACUACGUAUAGGCAUAAAAGGCCAUGUGCUAGAUAACAAAUCAGGGAAAUAUUUCCUUCAGCCUGAAAAGGCAUCUUUUAACCACCUAGGACAGCUGACUAUCCCUUAUUGGCUCAACAUUUUAUGUUAACCAAAUAGGGACAACUGCUCCCUAUUCUAGAACAUUCCUAAGGCAGCCUUAUCCUUUUUCCUUAUUUUUAUCUCUCAAACGACCCCCCCCCCUAAAAUUUCCUUAUUGUUCAUUUGACCACUAAAUAUGACUAAAAUUGCCAAAUUGAACAAACAUGAACAAAAAACCACUUGGUAAUCAAAAAGGAGCAAAACCAAAUAUUGAUUGAAUCCUAAACACCUAAAGCAAAUGAACCUAACUAAGACUAAAUCAUCAUGAACCCUACUGCAAUGAACAUCAACCACACCUAAACAACUAGUGAUUAUAGUGCCCAAAACAUAAUACUGCUGAAAAAGCAAACGACAAACAAUGAACCAAUACAACCUAAUUAAUGUAAUUAACCUAAAAUAUGCUAACUUAAACAACUAAGAACAAAAAGCUCCAUAAUAAGAACAACAAACAAUAAUGUGACAGUUAAACCUAAAUGACUAAGUAUCAUUACUGGUUAUUUAACAGAAAAAAGAAAGAAAAUAAAAGGAGAACAAAGUUGAACAAAAACCCCUAAAGAUAGUGUUCUGAAACCAUUUUUCCUUUUUUUUUUAUUUUCGUUCUUCAUGGUAUGAAUCAAAGCAAGCAUAGAAGAAUAUCAACAGCAACAAAAAUAAAAGAACCAAAGAAAAGAAAAGAAAAGACAAUUAAAUCUAUUGCCUCACAAAUCAAUCGAGAAAAAUAUAGAUGAAAAGAAACCCUAAAGACAUAUUUUAUUUGCUAACGGGAACCAAAACUUAAACAAAACAAGGAAGAAAGAGCAAAAUAAAGGAAAACCCUAAUAAUAUGAGAAAAGGGAUGUCUGACUUAGCUUUUAUUUUGUUUUGGCUUUCGAUUCUAUUAGAAACGUCCCUCAAAUAUUUUCUCCUGCCAAGAACAAACGCUUGUGAUGCAUCCAGACCCAUCGACAUAAGAGCAAACGGAAAGGAAGGGAUAUGCAACAGACCCGUAGUUUCUUAAAUCUAAGAUUUGGCUGAAUCGGACGGGAUUUGAAGGCAGUGGUUUGGGGAUUUGGAAAGGGGAGGGGACGAUGGUUAUAUGGUUAACAUUUGGGGCCAUUUGGAGAAGUUCCACAGCCGUGAGGCGAUUUCCGGCGGCAGCGGCUGUGGGGGAAAUUGGGGUGACUAAGGUUCUUCAGAUUUGGGUGUAGAGACAAAGUGGGGGGGUUUCGAAU